GUGCUCAUUUUGGCAGCACAUAUACUAAAACUGGAAGGAUACAGAGAUGAUUAGCAUGGCCCUUGCACAAAGGAUGACAUGCAAAUUCGUGAACAGUUUCAUUUUUUU